rnacentral:lncRNA from 1 species
AUGGUUUCGCCAACUGUAGGUUCUGAGAACCUUCCUUCAGGGCUAGUUCCAGGAGAGGCGAGGAAGGUAAUGUUGACAGAUGGUGUGGUGUCCAGUGGUUCCAGCCUCUUAUCAAAGAAUUUGAUGAAGACAAUUGAUGAAUUUAACAGUGUAGCAUUAUUGAGGAAAAUGAGAGAAAAAGAAGAGAAGAAAUGGAGAGGAAAGAAGAAGAAAGAGAAAAAUGAAGAUCCUGUAUGUCUUGCACACAGGACUGCCACUCAAGAACAAAGGGGAAGUGGCCAGGAGGCCCAAGAGCCCUGUCUUUUAUAUCUUCUUUGGAUGUCAGAUCUGGGCCUUCCUGUGCAGGACUCCAAAGCUGCUCUGUGCAUGCUCUGGGUUGUGAUUUGACAGCUCUCCGUGAUUGACAGGUCAUUCCCAGUAGCCCAGCCUGAUUUGCCAUUCCCUAAUCUUCUACCUCAUUUCCCGCUGAGAGACAUAAACCCUCAUAAUUCUUAUGGGGUGCUGAGGGAGUGGAGGGCUCUGUCUUCAUAUAGCUACUUAUUGCUGAAGAGCUCUCUGAUUAUCUUAGGAUGUUAUGGCUCACUAGCUAGGCUGAGGAAAACCUGUCACAAGACAGUGAGAAAGGAGUUAGUGUCUAUAUAUUGAGACUGUUGAGGGCCGGGGAUUUAGCUCAGUGGUUCUGGUGCCUACUUUGCAAGCGCAAGGACCCAAGUUCGAUCCCCAGUACCAAAAAAAAGAGAGAGACUGUUGAGCUUAUCUGUUUAAUGGACGAGAGUUUGGUGAGUGAAACUGUCAGGAGCCUGUGGAGGCAAAGAGGAAUGUUAGGUAGGCUAUCAGUGUCUAUUUAUGGUGGCUUUACUUAUGUGUGCUCAGAGCAGAACUGGAAUCUUGCUUUCUGAAGAUGACCCUCAAGUCUUCCAGAGAUUCAUAGAAGUAGCUUUCUCCUUUUGGGUUGUUUUUUUCUUCAGAUAGUUUAGGUGGAGAUGGCUUUAUCCUAAUGAGAUGGAUCCAGUUAUCUAUCUCUGCCACCUUUAUUUCAGUGGCCAUGCAAAGAUCAUUGAAAGGGGACCUACCAUUUUGGUUUUAAUUGGUCUACAUGGGUCCCUUCUUUCCAAGGUUUUUUUAUUUUUUUUGGUACUGCGGAUUGAACUUGGGACCCUGUACUUGUGAGGCAGGCGACAGCACCACUAAGCCAAAUUCCCCGCCCCUUCCUUCCAAGUUUUAAUGAGCACUUAAUCUCCCAGGCAGACAAUAGAUGGUCCCCUUGGGCCAGGAGCUGGCAGGACGUCAUUCCCAAAUAAUUGGACAGCCUGUUGAACUGUUAAGAUAUUGUAAGAUGGGGCCAGGGAUUUAGCUCAGUGGUUCCCCUGCCUGCCUCACAAACACAAGGACCCAAGUUCGAUCCCCAGUACCAAAAAAAAAAAAAAAAGAUAUUGUAAGAGUUUUGUGGUCUCUAGGUCUAUCACCAUAUCAGACGAUAGAAAAGGCCUCCCAUGUAGCAUCUCAUAUGGACUCAUUUAGCUCAGUUUUUGAGAUGUUUUAAAUCCUCAUGAGAACUAGUUGUAAUAAUUGGAGCCAAUGGAUGCACAUUGCGGCCAUACCUUUUUUUUUUUUGGUACCUGGGAUUGAACUAGGGUCCUUGCACUUUCAAGGCAGGCAGCUGCACCACUGAGCUAAAUCCUGGCCCCUGAGGCCAUACUCUCAAGUGAAAUAAAUAGGAUACAUAUAUGUAAAUAUCAAAUAGUUUCUCUGGUGAAAGUGUAAAUAAGGAUCAAAAUGUAUAAUAGAUAAUGUGAAAUAGGAAGAAAAGGUCCAAAGGGGAAGAGGAAGUGGGAGGGGUAGGGGAAAGAAGGGAAAGAAAUAAACAUGAGAAAAGGAAAAAAUUGAAGCAAAGUCUUUGUUAAUAGGGAGGGUGGAGGGGUUGAAGGGAGGGCAGGGGAAUGGGGACAAAAAUAAGAAGCAAGAUACAUCAUGUAAAGGUAUAAAUUCCCAAUCAUGAAUGUCAUUGUAUUGUAUACCUAAAAUGUACCAAUAAAAUUAAUGAAUUUUUUAAAAAGAAAUAAGAUAAUGCAUGUAAAAUACUUAGACAGCCCUCUCUUUAUGCUUAAUGGAAUUCAUCUUUCACUAAAAACUAAAUAAAUAAUUAGAGCCAAGUCUCAGAAGUCCCUUGGCAAAAUUUUGCCAGAGUUCACUUUAGGGUCCAGUUGGCACUUUUAACCUUUCUGGAGGACUGAAGCGUCCAUGCAGAAUGUCAAUGGUACUUUAUUCCUAAAGCCUUUGCUGCCCCCUGAGUUAUUUGACAGGUAAAAUAACAUUAUUAUCACCUAAAGGGACUGGGCUAAUCCAAACCAGGGAAUGAUUUCUUUGAGGAGCAUCUUUACUACCUCCAUAGCUUUUUCUGAAUGGGUAGGGAAGGCCUCAAUUCAACCU